UUAUAUAUAUUCCCUGCGCUGUCCACUUCUAUAGUUCUGUCCGCCUUUAACAGUAGAAUAUGAUAACUUUUUAUGCUCUUCUGACGGUAAAAAGCAAGCUGCGCCUCUGAAACACAGUGGCGGCGCCGGAAGCUGACGUAACCUCCCAAACCAUAGUCUCCGGCGAACGUUGCCGCUGGUCGGGAAAUCGCCGGAAUUCUCUGCGUUCUGGGCAAUUCUAUAUCGCCGGUAGCUAUUGUGAAGACAAGUGUUGACAAUACAUAUUACAAUUCAAAACAAUACAUAUAAUUAUAUUUGGUACAAAAGGAAGGGCGUAGUAGAAAUUACUAAUAUUUUUUUUUAGACUUGAAUGUUCUCCACUCAAUUUGCCCAAACAUUGUAGUUGACUCUGGGAAUGAACAGUUGGGACUUGGGAGAGAAUGCCCAGAAUGAAUGAAUGAAUGAAUAUAAAUAGAAUUAAAAGGCAUGAAGUGACAAUGGAGUUUUGGGACCCACAAAUACUCUCCUUCAAAUGAUCUAGAAGAUUCAUGUGUUUACCUGGCAGCUGACAACAAGAGGCAAAGCAAUUGAGCAGCCAUGUUCAUCCUUCACACCAUAAUAAAAGACAAAGGAGCCUUCCUCUCCAAGGGACCACCUUAGCAUCAAUGGGCCCACUCAACGAUGCCAUUUUUAGUGAUGCAAUUACUUUUCUUACAUGAUUUAUAAAAACAAAACUUAUUUUAUAUUUGCACUAUUUUUUAUUUUUUAUUUUUACAAAAGAUACAUGUAAUCACAAGUGCAUUAAGUAAACUCUACUAUUUGUGUAAUAGUUUAUAAAUUACACAUGAGAGAUAAAUCGUAUUAGAAAAAUCAUAUGUAAUUGGCUCAAUCAAUUGAAAGUUGGCAAAAA